rnacentral:ncRNA from 4 species
GGGACCUGUACUCGUUGCGGUGCAACGAUGGUUAAAG